GGAUCAUAGCUCUGGCGGAGCACCUGCUUUGCAUGCAGAAGGUUCCAGGUUCAAUCCCUGGCAUCUCCA